GAAUGACAUUAAUUCACCGUGAAAAUGUUUUUCCUGAAUGAUGGGAUGGGUUAAUUUUAGCGGUGCGAAUUUGUUGUGUAUUUUAUUUAGAGGUAACCUGCAAUCAGGUUAAAGCCCUGCGACCCUUGGCCUCGUAUGUCGCUGUGACGCACACAGAGAAUCUGAACUGAUGACAUCUGCCAUGAUGUGAUUGUGAACUCUCCAUGAGCCAUUCGAGGGGCAGGGGAACACUGUAUAAAUAUGUUCUGCCUGACAUUUGGGUGCGAUCGUUUUCCAGUGAGUGCGGGGAAUCGGUGGGAAAGAGAGCAGCCCAGUGAUAUCGGCCUCUACCAGAUUGCGAUGAGGUGAAGCCCACCGUGUCUCUCUCCUGAAUAUUUCAUUACGGCCAUCAGCGCGGGCAGCAGGUUGUUAUUUCCCAGCAGCGCCCCCCCCACAUGCUGUGAGCAACAGCUGUGCUUCCCUGACAGCCGGCCGGAAAGACCUUCCCCGCAUCACAAUACAACCCCAGCCCGUCAGCUCCAAACCUGCCAUGGCUCCAUCCUCUUUCGUCUUUCCUGAGAAAUGCUAAAAAAGAAUGCAUAUUUUAAUAAAAAUGUAUUCCCUAGAAGGAAUCCGGCCUGUUCACCAAUAAGAGGGAUGCUGUUGGGAACCUUUUUAGGAAACGUAUCCCAUGCCCCACUGCUGAAACUGACAACACUAUUUAUUAUUCAUUCUUGUUGACCGAGCUCACUAUGAAUGAUGUGUACUCAGUGGUUUUAUUUCUCUUGGUAAAAACAUAGCGGGCUACUGAUCCAACAUGGUGUAGAGCCUGUGUUUCCAUGUGGAGCAGCAGCCGACCCGUGGGUCUGUCCUCCUCCAUGAAGCUGAAACCGUCCCUGGUGUUGCGUUGCUCGUCUCCUUUCUCGGCCUCCCGAAAAGCCCCUGUGCUCCGUGGUGGCAGGUUGCUGUCAGGCUGUCGGAUCACAUGAGCACGCGCUUCUCUGCCAGACACUGGAUUCUCAAAACAAGUCCGCGGAGGAUGGAACCAUCAUCCAAGUCAGCUCUGCCCGGCCGUCAGUCCCCCCCUCCCCACCCCGGUUCGAAAACACAACACUUCCCCUCCCAGUACUAGUACGCUGGAGACAGCAUCCCCCUUCAAGGCAUCUGUUGACAGUGACACAGUAUCUGAGCUCUCUCUCUCUCCUUCCUCUUUGCUGAGCAGGAGGAAGGGCAUUUUAAGGGGCAGAUUCAUGAGUUACUCAUUACUUUGGAUCUGCUGCUCUUCAAGGUUUAUUUAUCUACAUAUACAAGGAGAUGUACGCAAAAAGUUUGCUGUCCUUGUUUUUCAUGAAUGGCUGUUAAGAUGGUAGAAAAAUAACACUCUCCUGUUUUCUUAACAGACAGGCCUAAUUGCACUUUUUGUCACACCCAUCUACUUAGUCCACACGCGUGCUGGCGUCUGCUGCCUGGUUCUGCCUGUCAGAGUCAAGCUUAGUCAUUAGGGACAUGAUGGAAAUGGGGAUUUGUGGUCAUUCAUUUGAUAUAUGUAUACAUAUUUAUUUGACGCUGAACUAAAACUGGCAUAUGUGUGACAUAUUCCAGCGUCAGCCUGAUAAGCAGUACAGUAAGUGGCCCGCACUCCCUGAGGAACAGGCAUCAGUUUUUUUGGAGUUCAUAUUAUAUUGGUUAUUAUCGUUUCUGUAUCUAAAAAUAGGUAGAAUCUUUUACAACCUUUUCUUGAGCUUCAGGGUUUCAUUUACUGUUGAAGCAAGCCAUACUGAUGACUAUAUCAGACUGUACUGGGGAAGAAAAAUAAAUUAUCGAUCCCUCUAUCUGCAUUGUCAACAUAUACAAUAUAUUAUUGUUUUAAUGAUAAUUUAACACCAAUCGUCAACAUAUCCACGCUGUGAUUUGGACUGUAUCAUGUAGGUGUUAUUAAAUUGUGUCCACAGGGCAUGUUGGUGUUUGUCCUGGGUGGUAUUAUGGCUUAGGCUCCGCCCUAUUGCAUUCCUGGAGGCAGCAGAACUGGUUCUGUGUCCAUCCAGAGCACCGCUGCCAACCUAGACCUCAGUCUAGGACUAAGAGAAAAACAACAUCAGGGCCACCUGCUAAAUGCAAGGCAAUUAUUGGCUGUGGCGGGAAAACGCACUAUAGCCAUUUUUAGCUCGGCUUGAUGUGUAGCUUGGUGUGUGUUUGCGUGUGCGUGUUAUUACAUUUAUGUAACCGCUGUUUCAGUGGUAGGUCCAGAUUUCCAUCUACCUUCAACAGCGACUGGGGGCGGGAUGUGAAAAUUAGUACCGCAGGAUCCAUUGGAAAUCCUUGGGAAGAGGAAUUUCGAGGCUCUAGCUUCUAGGAACACCAAGAUUAGUGUACUACCGUGUGGGCCUUGAAGUGUCCACUGUCUGCAACCCUCGUCGGCCAAGCUCCAAACGACUAGGCAUGGGGCUGGCCAGGGAGAUCGACACAGAUGGUAGAGCAGGGAGAGCGGAGAGUGGAGAGGGCUGGAUGAGAGGCACUUUGACGCCUUUCUGACAAGCAUGAAGCAUGUCAAACGGAACACACACACACACACACACACACACACACACACACACACACACACACACACACACACACACACACACACACACACACACACACACACACACACACACACACACACACACACACAGAGGGUCUAAUUAAUGGAGUUGAAGCUUCACAAUUAGAUUCUAGCUCAAUGAUUUCAUUUCCCAUUUGCAGGUUGCUCUGAUCAGUUCUUGCUCGAUCUCCAUUUUCCAGAAGGCACAUGGAGGCCUAUCCUAGCAGUCAGUGGCCUAUCACUGGUAUAAAUCUGGCAGGCAAACCAAAUGGUCAGUGUCACAAACGUAUUCAUUAGCCUUUUUCAUGAAAGAUGGUUCACAAUGAUAAUGGUACAUGUCCAUUAUCCUGUUUCUAUUUUUUCGCCUGGAUUGAGGAUCUUGUUGGCAAAUUAUUCAGAGAUUCAAAUUUAAAAUUUGUCAUUUCUGUCAGGAUUAUGCACUUCCCACAAUAUGGGAGGAGGUAUUCCAGUUCUGCUUCGGUAUUCAUAGCACAGCAAUUUCCUCAAUAUACAAGAAUACAAGCCUGUAUGGUAGCCGACUAAAUACUCAAUACUCAUCUACCGCAACUGACACAUUCCUUGUUUGUUUAUCUUUAUAGAAGGAUUUCCUUCUUCUUUCCUAUCUCUUCUUCUUUCUCACCCGACCCAUCCUCCCCUUCACCUCGGCUUCCCGUCAUGGGGCCGUUCAUGGGGUUCUGUUCAGGGGACAGCUUGUGACUCCACAACUAGCUGGCCCGCUGGCGGACAGGAAGGCCAGUCCGACAGACGGAGCAGCGUCUGAUGAGCCCCGGGCCAUGUGCCGGCUCCAGAUAAGAGGUCCCCUUCAACUCUUUGGGGCGCCUCAAUACCACUGGGCUCACUGCUCUGUCAUCAGUCCAUACCUCACCUUGUUUUUGCGUUUGUAUAACACGUCAGGGAUACUUUUAAAAUAGUUAAAUCUUUAAUUAUAUUCAUGUUUCCCUGCAAUGUGUGGUUAUGAUAUGAAGACCGGACCGGGAGCAUAUGUUUCCUACUAGUAGUCUAGUGGCUAGCAGGCCCGUUAUUGAGACCGCUUUAUUGACUCCCUAUAUUGGCAAUUCUAUAUUCUCUUUAUAUAAGAAGACACAUCAGCUGAUGUUGAAAGGCUUAAAGUGUAUAGUGAGGCCUUUAUGACCUAGUAUUAUUUACUUUGUUUAUUAUAUUAAGCAUGUGAUAGUCCACUUGGACCAACAAUACUGAUUAUUCGAUUUGUAGAGAACUAAUGGCUUUUUUAAUUGCAAAUGUAAAUUACUGAGUCAACAAUGAGUUAUGAAAGGCAGUACAGGCUCAGAUUUGAAUGCAGAGCACAAAUGAGGAUGUGGCAGCAUUUUACACUUUAAUGCUUGUAGGAGCGAAUAUUAUUUAAUGAAGUGUUGUCUCCUUUGGGGAAGUGUGUGUGUGUGUGUGUGUGUGUGUGUGUGUGUGUGUGUGUGUGUGUGUGUGUGUGUGUGUGUGUGUGUGUGUGUGUGUGUGUGUGUGUGUGUGUGUGUGUGUGUGUGUGUCCAAAAAAGAUAACAAUCGUCGAUCUAAAGCACAAAUGUGAUAAAUGAGUCUCUUCGUGUUUGAGAAUGAGAGUGCAAAAGAAUGAUGUCAGUUGAUGCCAAACGGAUAAAAAACAUUGUUUUUGCAUGCACACAAACACACACAAACACUGUCUGUGUGUGACCCCUCAUUGAUUCCGGACUUGUUGUUAUAGUAGUCUUAAGUAGAACAGGCUGACCUAACAACUCCACGAUGUGACACAGCCUGCAGGUAUAUACCUGGCUCUGAUAUAACCCAGUUAAUCACGUCUUCAUUCUCAUCAGCAUUUCUCUGCAUCAGUGGCAGAAGGAGAAGCCAUCAGCGUCAACAGAUAGGGCUCCACUUUCACAGUUGAAUAACAAUAUUCAGAGAACGCUUGCCCCCCUGCAUUUAAACUCUAAAACAACCAUAAUGACUAAAUAGGAUUCAGUGCUUCACUUGCAAACUUUUCUAAACGGGGACUUAGUCUUGCUUACAUUGUGUACUUUCCUUUCUUUUAUCUGCUUAAAGCGGUGUUAUGUUUGGUGACAUUUAAUCCCACAAAGCCUGAAUAGGCCUAGGAUCUUCCAUACAUUUUUUUUGUAAACACUGCUCAUGGAUUUGGA